CCUACGGGAGGCAGCAGUCGAGAAUCAUUCACAAUGGGGGAAACCCUGAUGGUGCGACGCCGCGUGGGGGAAUGAAGGUCUUCGGAUUGUAAACCCCUGUCAUGUGGGAGCAAAUUAAAAAGAUAGUACCACAAGAGGAAGAGACGGCUAACUCUGUGCCAGCAGCCGCGGUAAUACAGAGGUCUCAAGCGUUGUUCGGAAUCACUGGGCGUAAGGCGUGCGUAGGCUGUUUCGUAAGUCGUGUGUGAAAGGCGCGGGCUCAACCCGCGGACGGCACAUGAUACUGCGAGACUAGAGUAAUGGAGGGGGAACCGGAAUUCUCGGUGGAGCAGUGAAAUGCGUAGAUAUCGAGAGGAACACUCGUGGCGAAGGCGGGUUCCUGGACAUUAACUGACGCUGAGGCACGAAGGCCAGGGGAGCGAAAGGGAUUAGAUACCCCAGUAGUC
rnacentral:rRNA from 1 species